GUGAUCACUUCUGCAUCACACAUACUAAAAUUGGAAUGAUACACAGAAGAUUAGCCUGGCCCCUGAGCAAGGAUGGCACACAAAUUUGUGAAACAUUCCAUAUCAAG